ACAGCCUUUGCAGGAGAAUCAUUUCUAUAGUAUUCGACCCUUUCUUGGUUCCCUAAAAGAGCCACGAAUCCUACCCUGGUUGAUGAUUGCAUAUCCUCGGCGCCUCAAGAGUGAAUGCUCUUUUGGUCCUCCCGCCCUGUCCGAAAGGAUGGCGGUAGAACCCGGCGAAAGCCUGGGAUCUGCUGUAUAGGGAGUGUUUUGUUGAUGAUCUCGACCCUGCCGGUGUUCGCCCUCUGGGCAUGCCAACAGGGUGGGCGUCGAUGGAUGUCUGACAGGC
rnacentral:snoRNA from 1 species